rnacentral:misc_RNA from 1 species
UCGNNGUCNNUGCUGUUAUGUACUUUAAUACUAAAGUGCUGCUUGGACUACAUAUGGUUGAGGGUUGUUAGACUACUUAAACAGUUGAUUUUAGUUAUUUUAUAGCUUAAAUCACAUGGUGUAUUGAAGGAGUUUAAUGUGUUCUACACAUAAAGCCCGCAAUAAAGUGCAAUUUUGAGCAAAAAUUUUGUUUAUACAACCUCAACUCAUAUGGGAUU